GGGAUAUAAGAAGGAGAUAAGUUUGAUAUAAGAAAUAGCAAUGAAACAUGGUUAUAAACGAAGCCUGAUAUCUAAACUGAUAAAAGCAUCAAAACCUAGGAGACAUGUUACCAAGACCAUGAGUACCGAAAUUAAUAAUGAAGCGAACAUGGACCAGCAGCAAGAACAGAAGCCUGCCUACACCUUAAUACCAGAAGCUAUAAGAGACUUCCCAGUGGUCAAGAACAUCCUGAGGAAAAAAGGAAACAAGUCUGCGUAUAAAAGACCCCCCCUACGGUCUUUAAUGUGCUAAGAAAUGAGGAAGAUACGAGGAGUGAAUAUGAAAAAACGGGCUUAUACCAAAUUCCCUUCCGGGACCAGGAGAAAGAACAGAAGAGCUCUACAUAGGAGCCACAACAAGGAAUCUCAAGGACAGGCUGAAGGAGCAUAUAAGAGAUCUAAAAAAUGCAAAUUUGACAAUGGCUUUAGUUAGGAAGGCCUAUGAGAGCGACAUUAAUAUCAAAUGGGAAGAUUUGAAAGUAAUUAAGCCGGUAAAUUUUUUUGAAGAACUAACUACACCAGAGACUUUGCAGAUUUACAAGUUUGGAAGACAAGCGAUGGUCAUCAAUGAUAGGCAGCUAGAAUCCUUACAUAAGCUGUGGAAAUAUCUCUUGAAUGAAUAAGACUAACACUGACCAUUACCAUAACCAACAGUGACCGGUGCUAUCAACUGAAACAUUAGGCGGGUAUCUUAUUGAAAGCUUAAAAAAUUGGCUCCCU
rnacentral:lncRNA from 1 species